GCUUUGUGUAGCGCGGCGCCAUGUUUGUUUUGUUUUGUUUUGUUUUGUUUUGUUUUGUUUUGUUUUGUUUUGUUUUGUUUUGCUUUGCUUUGCUUUGCCUUGCCUUGCCUUGCCUUGUUUUGUUUUGUUUUGUUUUGUUUUGUUUUGUUUUGUUUUGUUUUGUUUUGUUUUGUUUUGUUUUGUGUUUUGUUUUGUUUUGUUU